AGCUUUGCACAGUGGCAGUAUCGUAGCCAAUGAGGUUUAUCCGAGGCGUGAUUAUUGCUAAUUGAAAGUAUUCAAAAGUUUAACGAAUUCAAUACAGUUCAACAAAUAAUGAUAAAGCACCUCGUAAGUACCAGCUCUUUGUU